rnacentral:misc_RNA from 1 species
UACGGAGGGUCCGAGCGUUAUCCGGAUUUAUUGGGUUUAAAGGGUGCGCAGGCGGGAAAUUAAGUCAGUGGUGAAAUCCCAUAGCUCAACUAUGGAACUGCCAUUGAAACUGAUUUUCUUGAAUAUAGUUGAAGUAGGCGGAAUAUAACAUGUAGCGGUGAAAUGCAUAGAGAUGUUAUAGAACACCGAUCGCGAAGGCAGCUUACUAAGCUAUUAUUGACGCUCAUGCACGAAAGCGUGGGGAGCGAACAGG